AUGUUGAACAAGCAGCACAUAUUCUAAAAUUGGAAUGAUACAGGGAGGAUUAGCAUGGCCCCUGGGCAAGGAAGAUGCUCAAAUUUGUGAAGCGUUUCAAAAUUUU
rnacentral:snRNA from 1 species